CCUACGGGAGGCUGCAGUGGGGGAUAUUGCACAAUGGGGGAAACCCUGAUGCAGCGACGCAGCGUGAGUGAAGAAGUCUUUCGGUAUGUUAAGCUCUUUCUGCAGGGAAGAAAACAGACGGUACCUGACUAAGAAGCCCAGGCUAACUACGUGCCAGCAGACGCGGUAAUUCGUAGGGGGCAAGCGUUAUCCGGAUUUACUGGGUGUAAAGGGAGCGUAGACGGCAAUACAAGUCGGAAGUGAAAUCCCAGGGCUCAACCUGGGAACAGCUUGGGAAACUGGAUGGCUGGAGUGCUGGAGAGGCAAGCGGAAUUCCUAGUGUAGCGGUGAAAUGCGUAGAUAUUAGGAGGAACACCAGUGGCGAAGGCGGCUUACUGGACAGUAACUGACGUUGAGGCUCGAAAGCGUGGGGAGCGAACAGGAUUAGAUACCCCAGUAGUC
rnacentral:rRNA from 1 species